UACAGAGGGGGCAAGCGUUGUUCGGAAUUACUGGGCGUAAAGGGCGCGUAGGCGGUCUGUUAAGGCGAGUGUGAAAUCCCCGGGCUCAACCCGGGAACUGCGUCCGAUACUGGCAGGCUUGAAUUCGGGAGAGGGAUGUGGAAUUCCAGGUGUAGCGGUGAAAUGCGUAGAUAUCUGGAGGAACACCGGUGGCGAAGGCGGCAUCCUGGACCGAUAUUGACGCUGAUGCGCGAAAGCCAGGGGAGCAAACGGG
rnacentral:rRNA from 1 species